ensembl:rRNA 5S_rRNA 5S ribosomal RNA
GCUUAUGGCCACACCGCCUGGUUCACGUCCGAUCUCGUUUGAUCUCGGAAGCUAACAUAGGUUGGGCCUGGUUAGUACUUGCAUGGGAGACUGCCUGGGAAUACCAGGUGCUGUAAGCU